rnacentral:rRNA from 1 species
UAUCCCAAGUAACAUGGAGCACGUGGAAUUCCGUGUGAAUCAGCGAGGACCACCUCGUAAGACUAAAUACUCUUGGGUGACCAAUAGCGAAAUAGUACUGUGAAGGAAAGGUGAAAUAGAACCCUUGAUAAGGGAGUGAAAUAGAACAUGAAACCGUAUGCUUACAAGCUGUAGGAGGAUUUUAUAUAAUCUGACUGCGUGCCUAUUGAAGAAUGAGCCGGCGACUCAGUGGAAAUGGCUUGGUUAAGGUGUAAAAACACCGAAGCCUUAGCGAAAGCAAGUUUUAAAAAGCGUAUAGUCGUUUUAUUCUUAAAAGAUUAUUCUUAAAAGAUUAUUCUUAAAAGAUUAUUCUUAAAAGAUUAUUCUUAAUAGAUUAUUCUUAAAAGAUUAUUCUUAAUAGAAUAAAAAAAAGACAAUGUCAUUUCCUCUGGACCCGAACCCGUAUGAUCUAAUCAUGGCCAAGUUGAAGGUUAGGUAACACUAUUUGGAAGACUGAACCGACCAAUGUUGAAAAAUUGGCGGAUGAGCUGUGAUUAGGGGAGAAAUUCCAGUCGAAUACGGAUCUAGCUGGAUCUCUCCGAAAUGCGUUGAGGCGCAGCGGUGACGAAAAAUCAAAAUAAUGAACUAUCUAGGGGUAAAGCAACUGUUUCGGUGCGGGCUGCGAAAGCGGUACCAAAUCGUGGCAAACUCUGAAUACUAGAUAUGUUUACCGUCAACCAGUGAGACUUAGGGGGCUAAGCUUCUAAGUCAAAAGGGAAACAGCCCAGAUUAUUAGCUAAGGCCCCAAAAUGUGAAUUAAGUGGAAAAGGAUGUGAAAAUGCUAAAACAGCCAGGAUAUUGGCUUAGAAGCAGCCAUUAUUCAAAGAGUGCGUAAUAGCUCACUGGUAUAGCGUUCUUGCGCCGACAAUGGCCGGGACUAAAUUCACUGCCGAAGCUGUAAUAUUAUAUAAUAGAUAUAUAAUAGGUAGGAGAGCGUUCUGUAGAGUAUAAUCUACUAUUAUAUUAUAAAAUUUGUUUUUAUAAAAUCUAAUAGUACAUUUGCCUCUUAUAUUCCACAAAGUGGAAUGAAUGACUAGAGGAGGAGUGAAGUUUCCAUGUAAAUGGGGAUGGACCAUACAGAAGUGAGAAUGUCGGCUGAAGUAACGAAAACAUUGGUUAGAAUCCAAUGCCCCGAAAACCUAAGGUUUCCUCCACUAGGGUCGACCAUGGAGGGUUAGUCAGGAUUCUAAGGCGAGGCCGAAAGGCGUAGUCGAUGGCAAACAGGUUGAUACUCCUGUACUACUUUUAUUGAAUAUUAUCUUUUAUCUUACAGAUUAUGAUAUAGUUAAUAUUAAUGAUAAUAUAAUAGACCAAAUCAUAAAGAUAAUGAUAAUAUAAUAGACCAAAUCAUAAAGAUAAUGAUAUAGUUAAUAUUAAUGAUAAUAGACCGAAAUCAUAAAUAUAAUAGACCGAAAUCUUAAAGAUAAUGAUAUAGUUAAUAUUAAUGAUAAUAUAAUAGACCGAGUGACGGAGAAGGCUAAAUUAAAACUGUUAGUGGAUUGCAGUAGAAGCGGUUAAUGCUAAAGUCUAGAAAAAAAACUAGAAUUAAUUAUUAUAUUCAAGCUAUUAGAUUAUUAAAACAAGGAUAUAAUAAGCAGAGACGUGAGCUCUAUACUCCUUUUAAAAAGAGUGUAGUUAAUGAUGUCAUACUUCCAAGAAAAGCUCGAACUCUAUUAAAUAAAAGUACCUGUACCUUAAACCGACACAGGUAGGUUGGUGCGAGAAUACCAAGGGGCGCGAGCGAACUCACUCUAAGGAACUCGGCAAAUUAGCCCCGUAACUUCGGGAGAAGGGGUACCUAGUAUAACAAACUAGGUCGCAGUGACAAGGUUCUGGGAACUGUUUAUCAAAAACACAGGUCUCCGCUAAGUCGUAAGACUAUAUAUGGAGGCUGACGCCUGCCCAGUGCUGGAAGGUUAAGGAAGGUGGUUAUAAGGAAUUUAUAUAGUUUUUAUUAUAUAAAUACCAUAGAAGCUAUUAACUGAAGCCCCAGUGAACGGCGGCCGUAACUAUGACGGUCCUAAGGUUACAGUAAAUAUCGCUAGCCUUAGUAAAACAGCGAAAUUCUUUGUCGAGUAAGUUUCGACCUGCACGAAAGGCGUAAUCAUCAGAACACUGUCUCAGAGAGAGGCUCGGUGAAAAAGACGUGUCCCGUGAAGAUGCGGACUACCUGCACCUGGACAAAAAGACCCUAUGAAGCUUUACUGUAUCUUGAAAUUGAAUUUGGGCUUUUCUUGCGCAGUCUAGGUGGGAGGCUAUGAAAAUUCCUUUCCGGAGGGAUUAGAGCCAACAUUGAGAGACCACCCUGGUAGAGCUAGAAUUCUAAAGGUGUUCUUUGAAUCAAGACACUUGACAGUUUCAGGAGGGCAGUUUUUCUGGGGCGGAAGUCUCCUAAAAGGUAACGGAGACGUACAAAGGUACUCUCAGUCUGGAUGGAAAUCAGAUAUUGAGUGCAAAGGCAAAAGAGUGCUUGACUGUAAGACCUACAAGUCGAGCAGAGGCGAAAGCCGGUCUUAGUGAUCCGACAAUACCAUGUGGAAGGGUUGUCGCUUAACGGAUAAAAGUUACUCUAGGGAUAACAGGCUUAUCUUCUCCAAGAGUUCACAUCGACGAGAAGGUUUGGCACCUCGAUGUCGGCUCGUCGCAUCCUGGAGCGGCAGUACGUUCCAAGGGUUGGGCUGUUCGCCCAUUAAUGCGGUACGUGAGCUGGGUUCAAAACGUUGUAAAACAGUUUGGUCCAUAUCCGGUGUAGGCGCUAGAGCUUUGAAAGGAUCAUUCUUUAGUACGAGAGGAUCGAGAAUGGUGAGUCAAUAGUGUACCGGUUGUCUUUCCAAAGGCAAGCGCCGGGUAGCCACACUCAAAGGGAUAACUGCUGAAAGCAUAUAAGUAGGAAGCCCUCCUUAAGAUGAGAGCUCUCUUCUUUAAAAAGAAACAGACCACAGGUAGAUAACCUGUUAGAUAGGUGCUACGUAUAAGGCCGGUAACGUUCUUAGCGAAGGCAUACUAAAAAGUCGAU